CCUACGGGUGGCAGCAGUGAGGAAUAUUGGUCAAUGGCCGGAAGUCUGAACCAGCCAAGUCGCGUGAAGGAUGACUGCCCUGUGGGUUGUAGACUUCUUUUGUCUGGGGAUAAAAUGUUCCACGUGUGGGGUUUUGUAUGUACCCGAUGAAUAAGGAUCGGCUAACUCCGUGCCAGCAGCCGCGGUAAUACGGAGGAUGCGAGCGUUAUCCGGAUUGAUUGGGUUUAAAGGGAGCGUAGGUGGAGUGUUAAGUCAGUUGUGAAAGUUUGCGGCUCAACCGUAACAUUGCAGUUGAAACUGGCAGCCUUGAGUACAGCAGAGGUGGGCGGAAUGCGUGGUGUAGCGGUGAAAUGCAUAGAUAUCACGAAGAACCCCGAUUGCGAAGGCAGCUCACUGGACCGCAACUGACACUGAGGCUCGAAAGUGUGGGUAUCGAACAGGAUUAGAUACCCGAGUAGUC
rnacentral:rRNA from 1 species